GAUAUUGCACAAUGGGCGCAAGCCUGAUGCAGCGACGCCGCGUGAGGGAAGACGGUCUUCGGAUUGUAAACCUGUCUUUGGGGACGAUAAUGACGGUACCCAAGGAGGAAGCCACGGCUAACUACGUGCCAGCAGCCGCGGUAAUACGUAGGUGGCGAGCGUUGUCCGGAAUUACUGGGUGUAAAGGGAGCGUAGGCGGGAAUGUAAGUUGAAUGUGAAAUUUAUCGGCUCAACCGGUAACUGCGUUCAAAACUACAUUUCUUGAGUGAAGUAGAGGUUGGCGGAAUUCCUAGUGUAGCGGUGAAAUGCGUAGAUAUUAGGAGGAACACCAGUGGCGAAGGCGGCCAACUGGGCUUUAACUGACGCUGAGGCUCGAAAGCGUGGGGAGCAAACA
rnacentral:rRNA from 1 species